AAAAUGGCGUCUAAUCAAAAAGCUAUUUGUCUUGUUUACAAAGUGACGCGAUCGUCUGUGUUUAAUGAAAUCAUUCAUUGGUGUAGCUUAAUGCAAAAUUAGUGGGGCAUCCGGUGUUUUUGACCUAAUUAUUAAUAUGCGUUUGUUAGAAAUAUUUAUUUCACGAGCAAAUGACAAUAUCUCUGAUUGGUUUUACUUGUAUAACUAUAUUGUACUAGAGGUCCCGCAGUAGUCGAAAUUCGACUAUAAUUAAUUGGAAUUGUGACGACGUUAUAAUGGAAACUAUUUGAUGUGGAGUACGAACAAAAAAUUUCAGAAAUCUUUUUUAACGUGACAACGUCUUAUAAUUCGAUGGAGCCGGCUGCACGCACGAAAAAACAUGACUCAUGCGGCGUUACCUCGCUCUGAGGCGUUCCAUUUAAGGCUUGAAUUGCAAACGAGAGCGCGCAACGAGCGACAAAGAGGCACAGUCGACCUCCGCGUUCGGCAGCUUUUGACAUCGGUCUCUCUCCUACUUGAGUGAGCGAUGCAUCCGCGUGGACAGCUGCUAUACAAUAAUACAUUUACAUGUUUUCGUCAAAUAUGAAGUUCAGUGAAAAGUGAAUGUGGUGUCAAUUGUUUAUAGCAACGAUAAUUGCGAUAAUUGAAAAAUAAAACCACUCCAUCAGUAUUUUCUUAUGGCGUUGUCACGUUCAACUAUCGUCAGUAAACCAACUUUACAGAC